rnacentral:miRNA from 11 species
CUGGGUAUUUUAGAUCCUUGGCA